rnacentral:tRNA from 14 species
GGGGCCUUAGCUCAGUUGGUAGAGCGCCGCCUUUGCAAGGCGGAUGUCAGGAGUUCGAAUCUCCUAGGCUCCACCA